CCCCCUCCUCCAAUUUUCAUUUCCCCCUUCUUCCAAAAUUUCUUUCCGCCCUUAUGUCUCCGAGCUUUUGUCUAACUAAUACUCCUCCUUUUCAUCUUUUACUCUCUCCCUCUCCCUGCUAUACCCUCUAUGCUCUCUCAAGUCAAUUUUCUCAAAAUCAGGUCGAUUAAUUGUGUAUUGCGAUGGGUUGGGGUUUUUAAGUUUACAAACCCUAACCAUCUCUCUGGAUCUCAUCUCUUUGUGACAUACUCAGUGAAUUUUGUUGUUUAGAUUCACUUUCCUUGGUAGGUGGAACUUCUCAAGCCCGAAAAUGAAGAAUAAGGUGUUGUCAAAGCUUGUUAGUGGAAGUGGAGUCGAUGCUGUGCUGCUUGAAAUGAUGGAAAGGCACUAGUAAAUGGCUUGUGGGUUGCUCACACUUUUGAAGUGGGCAUGCCUCUUGGUACUGAGUUUAUUUUCCCUCUAAUUGAGAAAUACAAGAUUGGGCAUCUGAAUAGGAUUGGUGCUCAUCUUGCCAACAAUAGUCAGCCACUAGAGAUGCAAAAGCUUCAAUGUUGAGUAAAACUUCAGUUCUUUGAGAUUUACUUCUCAAAUAGAAGUGGGCAAGAGGGUAAUCAAGCUCUUAAGGGUUAUAUAAGAGCAAGCUUUCACAUACACGUUGCUAGUUUAUAUUGAGCAUUAUAAUAUUUACGGUGUAAACUGUUUCAGCCUUUUGUAUUUUGAAUGGUUUUGUAAACACUAAAUUGAAUUUUUUUUCGUGUUAGAGAUAUAUUUUUUGUAUUUAUUAGUGCAAGAUUUUGUGAC